CCUACGGGUGGCAGCAGUGAGGAAUAUUGGUCAAUGGGCGCGAGCCUGAACCAGCCACGCAGCGUGAAGGAUGACUGCCUUACGGGUUGUAAGCUUCUUUUAUAAAGGAAUAAAGUGAGGCACGUGUGCCUUUUUGUAUGUACUUUAUGAAUCAGGCUCGGCUAACUCCGUGCCAGCAGCCGCGGUAAUACGGAGGUUCCGAGCGUUAUCCGGAUUUAUUGGGUUUAAAGGGAGCGUAGAUGGGUUGUUAAGUCAGUUGUGAAAGUUUGCGGCUCAACCGUAAAAUUGCAAUUGAUACUGGCAGCCUUGAGUGCAGUUGAGGCAGGCGGAAUUCGUGGUGUAGCGGUGAAAUGCGUAGAUAUCACGAAGAACUCCAAUUGCGAAGGCAGCCUACUAAACUGCCACUGACAUUGAUGCUCGAAAGUGUGGGUAUCAAACAGGAUUAGAUACCCGAGUAGUC
rnacentral:rRNA from 1 species